rnacentral:lncRNA from 1 species
UCUGAAUCAAGCUCUGUUCAUUUCCGUUUGCCCCCGGCAGAGGGACUGACCAAUAUUUGGCUAAAGUAGCAUGGAUAGAAAUAUAUAAAAUAGUGAAUGACAUUUGAUUACUCACAAUUUUUUAAAUGAUUUACAUAAUGCUUAAUUUUGCAUCCCAUUUGCACACAUGGCCAUAAUUAAAGAUCAAUGAUAUGAAACUACAAUUUUAGUGUUUACACACUGAGAUUUUAAACCAACUAGUUUCACUAAUUUCUCCUCUUAUCGUGACUUAGUGUGAGUAUCACAACUUAUUGCUUUUGGCAGUUUAGAUGUGGCUUGUUUCCUCAGAGCAUAGCCUAGAGCAGGAGCACACAGGAAGAUGGCACAUGGGCACAGAAUUGUCCCAAAAUGCAGCUUGAAGUGGAGAAUGGGGCUGUAUGGAGAGAAGCCCCUUCUGCCUGGGGACUGUAGGAGUUCUUUGCUGGGGAAAACAUUUUGAGUUCUGUUGUAGAGGAUGAG